CAACGAGGUUCUAGAAAGAAAUAGGGACUUGCCAUACAAGAUUAGAACAUUCCAGUGUUUGCUUCUGCCCUGUUUCUCCUUGUAGAACUUAUCUCACUGCCUCAGGACUUUUUCAAUUUAUUUCCCCAAACUGGAUGCUGGUCUGUGAGAUUUCCUCAAUCUGGCUGGAUUGUGAGCUUUCCUAGGGAGUUGUGCGUCACCUUGGUGACAGAUGAAGGUCGACCUUUGAUCAACACCCAUGGAAGGAGAGGCUCCUCUUAAGGAUGAACAGAAGCAGCUACAAGCAGGAGCCAACCAAAAAGAGGAUGAUGCAAAUGAUUAUUUUUUUCCCCUUAUACAGGCCCUUCGGAAUCUAGAAGAUGAGGGAAAAGAGGAGGAAGUAAGACUCCAAGGGACAUUGCCAGAAAGAGGGGAGGAUGAAAAGGAGAACUGUUGGGAUGGAAAUGAAUCGCUGAGGCAGAAUCGGGAAGACCAGAGGAGAGACAGAUCUCAAAGAUAUCCGAGCGGCGUUGCCUCUGAAGACGAAAUGGGAAA